rnacentral:rRNA from 1 species
GAGUUUGAUCCUGGCUCAGAUUGAACGCUGGCGGCGUGCUUAACACAUGCAAGUCGAUCGGUAACAGGUGUAGCAAUACAUGCUGACGAGAGGCGGACGGGUGAGGAACGCUUGGGAAUCUGCCUAUCAGCGGGGGACAACCCGGGGAAACUCGGGCUAAUACCGCAUACGCUCUACGGAGGAAAGCCGGGGACCGCAAGGCCUGGCACUGAUAGAUGAGCCCAAGUCGGAUUAGCUAGUUGGCGGGGUAACGGCCCACCAAGGCGACGAUCCGUAGCUGGUCUGAGAGGACGAUCAGCCACACCGGAGCUGAGACACGGUCCGGACUCCUACGGGAGGCAGCAGUGGGGAAUAUUGGACAAUGGGGGAAACCCUGAUCCAGCGACGCCGCGUGGGUGAAGAAGGCCUGCGGGUUGUAAAGCCCUUUCGGUAGGGACGAAAACUCUUGCUCUAACAGGGCAGGAGCUUGACUUAACCUACAUAAGAAGCACCGGCUAACUCUGUGCCAGCAGCCGCGGUAAUACAGAGGGUGCGAGCGUUAAUCGGAAUUACUGGGCGUAAAGCGCACGUAGGCGGCUUUGUAAGUCGGUUGUGAAAUCCCCGGGCUCAACCUGGGAACUGCAUCCGAAACUACAUUGCUAGAGUAUGGGAGAGGGAGGCGGAAUUUCCGGUGUAGCAGUGAAAUGCGUAGAUAUCGGAAGGAACAUCAGUGGCGAAGGCGGCCUCCUGGACCAAUACUGACGCUCAGGUGCGAAAGCGUGNGGAGCAAACAGGAUUAGAUACCCUGGUAGUC